UGGGGAAUAUUGCCACAAUGGCGCAAGCCUGAUGCAGCCAUGCCGCGUGUAUGAAGAAGGCCUUCGGGUUGUAAAGUACUUUCAGCGGGGAGGAAGGCGAUAAGGUUAAUAACCUUGUCGAUUGACGUUACCCGCAGAAGAAGCACCGGCUAACUCCGUGCCAGCAGCCGCGGUAAUACGGAGGGUGCAAGCGUUAAUCGGAAUUACUGGGCGUAAAGCGCACGCAGGCGGUCUGUCAAGUCGGAUGUGAAAUCCCCGGGCUCAACCUGGGAACUGCAUUCGAAACUGGCAGGCUGGAGUCUUGUAGAGGG
rnacentral:rRNA from 1 species